rnacentral:rRNA from 1 species
CCUACGGGAGGCUGCAGUGGGGAAUAUUGGGCAAUGGGCGCAAGCCUGACCCAGCAACGCCGCGUGAAGGAAGAAGGCUUUCGGGUUGUAAACUUCUUUUCUCAGGGACGAAGCAAGUGACGGUACCUGAGGAAUAAGCCACGGCUAACUACGUGCCAGCAGCCGCGGUAAUACGUAGGUGGCAAGCGUUAUCCGGAUUUACUGGGUGUAAAGGGCGUGUAGGCGGGACUGCAAGUCAGAUGUGAAAACCACGGGCUCAACCUGUGGCCUGCAUUUGAAACUGUAGUUCUUGAGUGCUGGAGAGGCAGACGGAAUUCAUGGUGUAGCGGCGAAAUGCGUAGAUAUUAGGAGGAACACCAGUGGCGAAGGCGGUCUGCUGGACAGCAACUGACGCUGAGGCGCGAAAGCGUGGGGAGCAAACAGGAUUAGAUACCCCUGUAGUC